AGCAGAAGAAUUAUUUUGCAACAAAUAUCAUAUGAAAUAUUGAACCAAAACAUCUUACUUGAACAAUGAAUGGUAGAUCAACUUGUAACUGAAAUAACUAAAUGCAAACUAACAUAAAACAUAAGUUGCAUAAUUAACUACUUUCUACGGAGAUUCGUGUUUCGAUCUAUGUUUAAUUCGAUUUAAAAAUGCAAAUAUAUUGUGAGACCUAAAAUUUGGCCUUCACACACACAAAAAAGUACAGUACUACU
rnacentral:lncRNA from 1 species